CUUGUCAAAUCCUAGAACCCAAGCUCAGUUGAUGGUUCGGAUAAUCAACCAAGUAUCACAUGCCGAUUUUGAAAUGGUUGAUAAUACAACUGUUAUACCACCGGACUGCUGCAGUAAUUCGGGCGAUUGCUGUUAUAAGUGUGUCGUAACAGAAGGUUCUAACUCUGUCAUCGAAGACCUGUACAUCCGCUUAGCUCCCUUGAAUGGAGCUGAUGAGGUCCAAGUGGGUUUCAAUAAUGGUUCCUUGUUAGAGUUUCCAAGAAUAGCACCAAAAACGUCCUCAGCA